rnacentral:lncRNA from 1 species
UGGGAGUUUAAUUUUCACGAUGGGUAGAAAACAUCCUUUAGCUAAUUUCUUGAUUCUCCUCUUGAACUUGGGUACGUUGCUAUCUUCUUUAGCAUGUCCAUAUUGCCCUUAUCCUACUCCUCCCCCUCCGUGUCCCCCAACAUUUCCACCAAAACACCCUCCACAUGUAAAGCCACCUUUCCACCCCAAACCACCGCAUCACAAGCCACCCCAUGUCAAACCACCGCACAAGCCCCCGUAUGUUCCUAAACCACCUUAUUCCCCAAGCCCUAAACCGCCUUACGUGCCAAAACCACCUCAUACUCCAGUCCCUAGGCCACCAUAUUUCCCCAAACCACCUUACACACCAAGGCCUAAGCCACCAUAUGCGCCAAAACCACCUUAUACGCCAACCCCUAAGCCACCAUAUUUCCCCAAACCACCUUACACACCAAGGCCGAAGCCACCAUAUGUGCCAAAACCACCUUAUACGCCAGCCCCUAAGCCACCAUAUUUUCCCAAACCACCUUACACACCAAGGCCUAAGCCACCAUAUGCACCAAAACCACCUUAUACGCCAACACCUAAGCCACCAUAUUUCCCCAAACCACCUUACACACCAAGGCCUAAGCCACCGUACGUGCCAAAACCACCGUACACACCAAGGCCUAAGCCACCGUACGUGCCAAAACCACCAUACACACCAACCCCUAAGCCACCGUACGUGCCAAAACCACCUUACACCCCAACCCCUAAGCCACCGUACGUGCCAAAACCACCGUAUACCCCAACUCCUAAGCCACCGUACGUCCCAUCGCCACCUUAUACCCCUCGCCCUAAACCACCGUAUGUACCAUCACCACCUUAUACCCCUAGCCCUAAACCACCGUAUGUGCCAUCACCACCAUAUACCCCAAGCCCUACCCCACCAUAUGUACCAUCACCACCGUAUACCCCAAGCCCACCAUAUGUACCAUCACCACCGUAUACCCCAAGCCCUAGCCCACCACCACCACCAAGUGGAACACCGUGUCCUCCGCCGCCGCCACCAAAGGUGAGACCGUACCCUCCACCACCAUCACAAACUUGUCCCAUUGAUACUCUCAAGCUUGGUGCAUGCGUCGACGUGUUGGGCGGUCUAAUACACAUCGGUAUAGGCAGCAGUGCAAAGGACGCUUGCUGCCCCGUGCUGCAGGGGCUACUGGACUUGGAUGCUGCAUUAUGUCUUUGCACCACCAUUAAACUUAAGCUUUUGAAUAUCAAUCUUAUUAUACCGAUCGCC